UUUUGUCUCAACAAAAUUGACAAAAUUGACAAAAUUGAUUUUUGUCUCAACAAAAUUGACAAAAUUGACUUUUGUCUCAACAAAAUUAACAAAAUUGACUUUUGUCUCAACAAAAUUGACCAAAUCAAAUUUUGUCUCACAAAAGUUAAUUUUGUCUCACAAAAGUUAGUUUUGUCUCACAAAAGUCAAUUUUGUCUCACUAAAGUAAAUUUUGUCUCACAAAAUUGAAUCUUAUCUCACACAAUUGACUUUUGUGAUUUAAUUUCAAUAUCAGGUAACAAAAGUCAAUUUUG
rnacentral:lncRNA from 1 species